AAAUGCACCUCGACAGUAGCAAAGGGGAGACAGCCUCUAGCGAAAGCCUCCGCGCGCGUUGGUGUGCUGUGCUGCUCAGCUCAGCCCCCGAAGAUCAACUGUGGACAGUCCAGUGGGC
rnacentral:lncRNA from 1 species